rnacentral:rRNA from 1 species
AUUGAACGCUGGCGGCAUGCUUUACACAUGCAAGUCGAACGGUAACAGGCCGCAAGGUGCUGACGAGUGGCGAACGGGUGAGUAAUGCAUCGGAACGUGCCCAGUCGUGGGGGAUAACGCAGCGAAAGCUGUGCUAAUACCGCAUACGAUCUAUGGAUGAAAGCGGGGGACCGUAAGGCCUCGCGCGAUUGGAGCGGCCGAUGUCAGAUUAGGUAGUUGGUGGGGUAAAGGCCUACCAAGCCAACGAUCUGUAGCUGGUCUGAGAGGACGACCAGCCACACUGGGACUAGGACACGGCACAGACUCCUACGGGAGGCAGCAGUGGGGAGUUUUGGACAAUGGGCGCAAGCCUGAUCCAGAAAUGCCGCGUGCAGGAAGAAGGCCUUCGGGUUGUAAACUGCUUUUGUACGGAACGAAACGGUCUGGGUUAAUACCCCGGGCUAAUGACGGUACCGUAAGAAUAAGCACCGGCUAACUACGUGCCAGCAGCCGCCGCAGUAA